rnacentral:rRNA from 1 species
UACGGAGGGUGCGAGCGUUGUCCGGAAUCACUGGGCGUAAAGGGCUCGUAGGCGGUCUGUCACGUCGGGAGUGAAAACACGGGGCUUAACCCCGUGCCUGCUUCCGAUACGGGCAGACUAGAGGUAUGCAGGGGAGAACGGAAUUCCUGGUGUAGCGGUGAAAUGCGCAGAUAUCAGGAGGAACACCGGUGGCGAAGGCGGUUCUCUGGGCAUUACCUGACGCUGAGGAGCGAAAGCGUGGGGAGCGAACAGG